GAUGAACGCUGGCGGCGUGCCUAAUACAUGCAAGUCGAGCAAACGGACGAGAAGCUUGCUUCUCUGAUGUUAGCGGCGGACGGGUGAGUAACACGUGGAUAACCUACCUAUAAGACUGGGAUAACUUCGGGAAACCGGAGCUAAUACCGGAUAAUAUUUUGAACCGCAUGGUUCAAAAGUGAAAGACGGUCUUGCUGUCACUUAUAGAUGGAUCCGCGCUGCAUUAGCUAGUUGGUAAGGUAACGGCUUACCAAGGCAACGAUGCGUAGCCGACCUGAGAGGGUGAUCGGCCACACUGGAACUGAGACACGGUCCAGACUCCUACGGGAGGCAGCAGUAGGGAAUCUUCCGCAAUGGGCGAAAGCCUGACGGAGCAACGCCGCGUGAGUGAUGAAGGUCUUCGGAUCGUAAAACUCUGUUAUUAGGGAAGAACAUAUGUGUAAGUAACUGUGCACAUCUUGACGGUACCUAAUCAGAAAGCCACGGCUAACUACGUG
rnacentral:rRNA from 1 species